rnacentral:tRNA from 1 species
GAUCCACUAGCUCAGACGGUAGAGCAUCUGACUUUUAAUCAGAGGGUCUGGGGUUCGAUCCCCCAGUGGAUCACCA